ACAAACCACAUCACAGGUGAACUUGACAAGUUGACGAUGCGGGAGAAGUACAAUGGAGGCGACCAAAUUCGCACGGCAAGCGGUUCUGGUAUGGAUAUCACACACAUUGGCAGUUCAAUUGUUAAAACCCCCGUGAAAAAUUUACACUUGACCAAUGUCUUGCAUGUUCCUCAAUCCUCUAAAAAUCUUGUUUCCGUUCAUCGAUUCACUCUUGAUAACAAUGUUCUUAUUGAGUUCUAUCCUUAUUUUUUCUUGGUUAAGGACUUGAAAACAAGGAGAGUCAUUCUUAGAGGACGGUGCGUGGGAGGACUCUACCCACUCAUAUCAUCAUCAUCGUCAUCAUCUUCAUGGUCCAAUAAACAAGCAAAUAUUGUCACCAAGCUAUCUACAUCAAGGUGGCAUAGUCGUUUAGGUCAUCCAUCUUCAGUCAUAGUUAGAUAUGUUCUUAGCAAAAAUAAACUCUCUUAUGAGCCUAGUAGUGAGUUAGUUUGUGAUCCGUGUCAACAAGCAAAAAGUCAUCAAUUACCUUACCCAAUUUCUACUAGUGUGUCUACUGCC
rnacentral:rRNA from 1 species